GAUGAACGCUGGCGGCGUGCCUAAUACAUGCAAGUCGAGCGAACAGACGAGGAGCUUGCUCCUCUGACGUUAGCGGCGGACGGGUGAGUAACACGUGGAUAACCUACCUAUAAGACUGGGAUAACUUCGGGAAACCGGAGCUAAUACCGGAUAAUAUAUUGAACCGCAUGGUUAAAUAGUGAAAGACGGUUUUGCUGUCACUUAUAGAUGGAUCCGCCCCGCAUUAGCUAGUUGGUAAGGUAACGGCUUACCAAGGCAACGAUGCGUAGCCGACCUGAGAGGGUGAUCAGCCACCCUGGCGCUGCGCCACGGUCCAGAUUCCUACUGGAGCCAGCAGUAGGGAAUCUGCCGCAAUCGCCGCAAGCCUGACGGGGCAACUCCACGUGAGUGAUGAAGGUCUUCGGUUCGUAAAACUCGCUUAUUAGAGAAGAACAAGUGUGUAAGUAACUAUUCACGUCUAGACGGGACCUAAUCAGAAAGCCCCGGCUAACUACGUC
rnacentral:rRNA from 1 species